UGCAUGUUCAGGAUAGUUUUGC
rnacentral:siRNA from 1 species